ensembl:snRNA U6 U6 spliceosomal RNA
GUUUAAGUUUGGCAGCACACGUACUAAAAUUGGAACGAUACAGAGAAGAUGAGCAUGGCCCCUGAGCAAGGAUGACAUGCAUAUUCAUGAAGUGUCCUAUACUUUU